GGGAGAGAGAGCCUGGCUGCCGCGGUGGUCACACUGGCGACAGUGUGAUCAUAUGGCGUGGUCUGUCCAUGAGAUGGAUCAUGCAGUACCGUUGCCCGACUCGUCGAGUCGCACAACGGGCGCGAGGAAAGUCCCCCCACCUGUUCGGGCAGGUGACCGGGCGCAAGUCCGGAGCGGGAGACCGCUGGCUCUGGAACAGAAACGACACGUCUCGGCCCGACCGAUGAUGCGUGCGAACCCGUCCGAGAGGGCGGGGAGCUAACCCGCAGAGGGUGUGUGAUCGACUCUGCACGGUUCGAACCCGUGGGUCGCGUACGCGGUUCGCUCCCUCAGUGAACUGUGAGUGAGUCGGCGGCAGCAGCCGUCGACCGCACUGGCGCGAUCGACCACACGCAGACGGCCGAGGAUCGAUGGAACGGCGAACCCUCACCGGUGCAAGUCCGUGCCGUGGUAGCCCGAACGCCCCGCGGCGUCGCCGCGGACGGGACGGACGCUCAGCCGAAUGCCGGGAUGAACAGAAGGGGGCUUACUCCUCUCACCU
rnacentral:RNase_P_RNA from 2 species